UACGUAGGUGGCAAGCGUUAUCCGGCAUUAUUGGGCGUAAAGCGCGCGUAGGCGGUUUUUUAAGUCUGAUGUGAAAGCCCACGGCUCAACCGUGGAGGGUCAUUGGAAACUGGAAAACUUGAGUGCGGAAGAGGAAAGUGGAAUUCCAUGUGUAGCGGUGAAAUGCGCAGAGAUAUGGAGGAACACCAGUGGCGAAGGCGGCUUUCUGGCCUAUAACUGACGCUGAGACGCGAAAGCGUGGGUAGCAAACAGG
rnacentral:rRNA from 1 species